ensembl:snRNA U6 U6 spliceosomal RNA
GCAUUUGCUUUGACAACACACACACUGAAACUGAAACAAUGCAGAGAAGAGUAGCAUGGCCCUAUGCAAGAAUGACAUGCAAAUUUGCCAGUGUUCCAUACCAAA